rnacentral:pre_miRNA from 1 species
GAAAUACUCCCUCCGUCCGAAAAUACUUGUCAUAAAAAUGAACAAAAAGAGAUGUAUCUAGAACUAAAAUACAUCUAGAUACAUCCCCUUUUAUUCAUUUUGAUGACAAGUAUUUUCGGACGCAGGGAGUAGAAA